GAACAGGAUCUGUUCUAUAGGCUCGUACCGCUGCAUCCUUUACCAAUAAGGAGGCAAGCACUUCAGUCUGGUUGAUGCAUUCUAACCUCUAGGCCAGAGCGUGAUUAACUGCCAGGAUUCACCUGAUGGGUCUUAUCCGAUGGCUGUAGAGGAUCGUUCCUGCCCAUACUUGUGUGUGCAGGGUGGCCUAGAGGUUGUCUGACAGACCCAACAACACUUUUUUUGCUUCAAGUUUAGGGUGAAAUCUAUGAAUUUAACCAUCUGAAUUAGCGAACUUUCAGCCAUCUGUCAAGGCUGUGCUGUAGUAAUCCUUUGGGGAUAUGGUUGCUCAUGUCCUCGUAACCCAGAUGCUCCAGCAGUGAUGAUGUUCGUAAAAAGAAUAUUAUUGCUUGCUUGAUUGCUUAAGAGUUUAAAAUGUUAUCAAAAAAAUCAAGUCCAGGAUUAAUGGCCAUAUCAUCAGAAAAAAUCAACUCCAGGAUUAAUGGAGAGAGAGCGCAUAAGUUGGAGGAUUUUGCAAAUUGACAACUGAAACAGAAGUAAUCAUUUGCUUCAACUGUCCUUUGAUGUCUCGGACUUCGUUUUGUGCAGUAGAAACUGUAAUACCGCUGCACAUUUGCUUGCGCAGUUCGAUCUCAAGGCUUCUGUGCCUCUCACCUUUUGGGCAGAUGUUGCCCCUGACUGUGUUGCUUGUCUGGUGACCAGCGAGAUUGCUAGGAGCCAAGCCUGAGUGGAAUGGGUCUUAUUCCUUUUAAGAAAACUGAAUUCCUUCCUUUGCACCAUGCCGCUUUUUCUUCAGUCUGUCUCUCAAUUAGCAGUAGCCAGAUAAAAAAUUGUUGACCUGGCAGGAACAGUAGGUGGUUUGCCUACUGCAAGUAUGCUCAGUAAGGAAAACACUUGUUGACCUGGCAGUGCAAUUCAGAACAAGAUUUUCUUUGGUUGUGGAAGACUGAGUUCAGCUUUUCUUUCAACAGUUCCAUGCAUCUGUACCAGAAGCAUACAUACCUACUUCAACACUUUCAUUGAGCAUAUAUCAUGUCAUCGUAUACUCUACCUAGAAAUUUUUUCUACAAAAACUGAAAACAAGCCGCGUAGAUGCACCAAACAAUUAAAUGCAUAGAUCCAAGGAAAGUUAUCCAUGCAUUGGCCAUAAGUUCUAACCAAUUAUAUUACAUCAGUUUGAAGCAGGGGUUUCAUCCAUAUAAUGAGAGAAGAACGAAUGCAUGACAAAUGUUGGCCUAUUUUAAUAUGUAUUGCUCUUAUCUUGAAAAAAUAAAUGCAAUGCCAUUUCUUGAAGAGCAAACCGUUUCUUUUCUUUUAGAUAGUGGAUGAUUUUUUUUGCCUCAAUCCUUUUUCUUGCAAGAGCCUAAAUCUAUUAAUUAAGAGAGAGUGUCACGAACAUAGGGAACAACAACAAGGCCGCGAUGAAAAUAAAAAGACAACUCUCCUGGCCGCCCCCAUAGACCGAUUGUUGAACACCUAGCGUUGCGCUCGUUUUAAACCUCCCAAGAGAUAAGCAUGAUUAAGAAGUAAAUGGCUUUCUUGUGAGGUCUACCUUGAAGCGCAAGGGCCGACCACCGCUCCACAACAUCUCUCAUUUCACUCCAAUCGCUUGAAUGAAGGUAAAAAAACGAUGAUCAAGACUUUUUUUUUACAGAAGACCAUCAUGACUAGGUUUAUUGAAAUUGAAAUAAUAAUUACAUCAGUUGAGAUUGCUCAAGUAGGAAGUUUGGAGGAUCAUCGCGCCCAUAACUAGAAAUCUUAUUAAAAAAAACUAAACUUUGCUAGCUCAUUAGCCACUACAUCAACUCUUCUAUUACAAUGCUUGAACUUGACCUUCCGAAUUAAAUUUGCAACAUCAAGACAUUUAGCCUAAAUAGCUGCCGCCGAAUCCCAUCACUGAGAUCGGCCAUUGCAGAAACCAAGACCAAGACUUGGAAAGAGGGUGCCCUUUGGAAAUGUCCAAUAGAGGCCGGGCUAGAAGGAGUCCGUUUUGAAAAUAUCAUAUAUUCAUAGCCCAAAAAGAUCCGGAUUUGGUGUGCAGCGGCAUGAUAAUUCAUUUCAGGUUUUCUUUAGGGAGGCUUCGCAUGGUGAAGUAGAAAUUCAUUGAUGUUCCUUUCUAGCUAGAUAAAACUAGCAUCUCUCUUCACUAAAAAAAGAGAUCACUUUUUUUGAACGAUUAAAAAAUAUUUUUUUGUUAAAAAAGCUUUUAGGGGUUUAAACUUUUAUUAUGAUUUAUAAAAAUGUAUAUGAUUUAUAAAAAAAUGUUUACUAUUUUUCAAAGAAUUACCACGAAUUUAAAGAUGUUCACAAAUAAAAAAUAAGUUAAGUAAAUAAGACAUAAGUAAAAAAGGGAAAAAAGCGGAUGAAAGAAUGCCCUAUGAAAACCUAAAAAACCCAGUAGAAAAAUACUUCCUCCGUUUUUAAAUAUAAGUUUUUUUAAAGGUUUCACUUAAGCCCUACAUACGGAUGUAUAUAGACACAAUUUAGAGUGUACAUUCACUCAUUUUGCUUGGUAUGUACUCCCUCCGUUCCUAAAUAUAAGUUUUUCUAGAGAUUCCACUAGUAGACUACAUACGAAUGUGUAUAGAUAUAAUUUAGAGUGUAAAUUCAUUCAUUUUGCUUCGUAUGUAGACUUUUAAUAAAAUAUCUUAAAAGACUUAUAUUUAGGAACGGAGGGAGUAGUUGUCUAGUGAAAUUUCUAAAAGGACUUAGGUACGGAGGGAGUAGAAAAGGAAGUUGAGAAAUAAACGUUUUUUUUUAGAAACAGUUGAGAUUUGAGAAGUAACCUAGAGAAAAAGAGAAAGAGAAGAAAGAUAGCACCUGAAGCUCCCGAUUGGCCCAUCAUAGCUCCCCAGUUCAGUUGAGAAAUACCCUAGAGAAAAAAGAGUAGAUUUUGGGAUGGUGAACAUGGAAAUUUCUAUUUUGUCACUCCGGCAAGUAGUCGGGCAACAGGCAGAUCGACUAGCAUUCGGAUGGGCCGGUCCGUUCAAACGUUUCGGCCAAUUCCGGUUUUGAGAAUCUUCUUGGUGGUUCCUCGCCGUUUUUUUUUCUGGUUUUGGGAACCUUCUAGGAGGUUACUAAAACGGUUUUUCUAUUUCGGAUUUUUCUACUUUUUGUUUCUUUUCUUUUUCAUUUUUCUAUUUUUUCCUUUUCUUUGCUCUUUGGUUUUUUAUUUUCCAUGUUUCUUUUCUUUGAAAACUUUAUAUAUUUAUUCGGAAUUUUAUAACAUGUUCCUGUUUUCAAAAAUUGCAUCCAAUUUGAGAAAUGUUCAGGAAUUUAAAAACUCUUCUUAUUUUUAAAGUUUGUUUAGAAUUUCAAAAAAUGUUCAUGUUUCAAAAUAUCUUUCAGGAAUUUGAAAAAAUGUUCCUGUUUACAAUUGUUGUUCACAAUUUCAAAAAAUGCUCGUCUUUAAAAAAAUGUACUUGUUUUUCAUUUUUGUUAUGUUCAUGUUUUGAAAAAUUAUUCAGGAAUUAAAAAAACUGUUCUCGUUUUCAAAUUCUGGUUAGAAUGUCAUUCAUAAAAUGUUCAUGUUUCAGAAACGUACAAGAUUUUCAAAAUAUGUUUUCACUUUAAAAAUAUGUUCAGACUUUCAGAAAAAUGUUCUUCUUUCAAAAAAAUGUUUAGGAAUUUCGGAAAAUGUUUCUUGUUUCGUAAAAUUCAUUGUGUUAGAAUAUGUUCGAUUUUUUCGAAUUUUUUCUUGUUUUUUGUAAACUCGUCUUACAAGAAUGUUCUCAUUUUUCAGACAAAAAUACAGUACAUUUUUUCAAAACUGUUCAUUGCCAUUACGUUUUUGUUAAUGCCACAUUUUCUCAAUUCAAGAACUUUCUCGGAAUAUGAUGAACAUUUUUGAAUCUGAGAACUUUUUUGCAAUUUAAAGAAAAACUUUUCAAUUGACGAACAAUUUUGACGGCGUUGAAAAUUUUGUGAAUUGAAAGAACUAAUUGUGUGUUUCUUUUUUGAUUGAUUGCAAGGUUUUGUUGGUAGCUUACCAAGCUAGCUGCUUGGUAAUUGUGUGUUUCUCGUAUCAAUGAAACAACGCCAAGAACUUGCUUUUAUUCCUAUUUUGUUUUUCUGUUCGUGUCUUGUAGCUGUAUUUCUCAGAAUAAAUCGAACAACCAAAAAAGAAAUUGGAGCGAAGAAAUGAGCUCACCUGGCCUGCCACUGAGACGCUCUGGGCCCGCCAGUGGGAUGCUUUGUGCGAAGCGACUCCUCUUUGAAGCAAAGAGUGUCAUAUAGACGCUCCCGGCGAACAUUCUAGGAAAACCCUAUAGACGCUCCGGUUCUGUUUCUUCCUCUUCUUUAUUCAUGUGUCGCCUCUUUAUUAUUUUUGUUUUCCUCUUUUUUCUGUUUCUUUCUUUUCAUUUCUUGUCUUUUCGGUUUCCUUUUUUGUUUAUUUCCCUUUUCCCUUUUCAAGUUCACUUACAUUUGAAAAAAUUGUUUGAGAAUUACAAACUUUGUUCGAUUUUUUUUGUAUUUAUGAAAUGUUUGAGAAUUUGGAAAAAUAUGUAUGUAUUUUAUAAAAUGUUCAGUUUGAAAAAAACUUAUGUUUUAGUUUUUAUUCACAAAUACAAAAAUGUGCAUGUUUGUAAGGAAAUAUUUGGCAUUUUAUAAAAAACGUCUGCUUUUAAUACGUUAUUCAGAAUUCAAAAUUUGCUCACAAAUAUGGAAACUAUUUGUGUUUAUUUUUUGUUUGCUCCAAAAGGACUAAAAAUCAGUUGAAGUAUUUCAUAUUCAAAAAUUGAAAAUGUGGGGGUAGGAGUUGGAUUUUGCCAAACAAAGGAUAAUAGAAAAUAAUUAAAUAGAAGUAUAGCAGGCAUAAUAUCCACAAUUGGAUUGAAAAUAGCAUAAGCUUCGGGUUGGAAGUUGCAGCAAGUAGUUUUCUCACUGGAGUACUUUUGGACACCAGAGCCGAGUCAACAAAGGUUUACUAAUUGAACAAAAAGAGUCCAAUUAACUAUCUUCCAUGAAGGGUCUAAUUCAAAAAAGGUGUAAUAAUUAAUUCAACCAAAGUAGGCAGUAACAAAAAGAGUCUACUCUAAUUUAGCUAACUUUUGGCAUUGCUCAAGGCCAUUCCGCAUUUCUGAGAUAACUUCGACAGUUGAUUGCAACAAAAAGGAAAUGAGAACCCAAGGAAAGCACGCGAGAGACAAAUAUUUUUCAGAUGGGGUGCGCUACUUUUCUUCUGCUGCGCUACUGGGCUUUCCUCAUCCUCCUUCCAAAAACAGACCGAGGAAGCGCUGCUGCAUGCCGCUGCAAUUAGUCCCACCUCGCUAGUUUAGGUGACGCUAAACCAGUUUAUAAGGCUAAACGCGGCUGUUUGUGGCACGACCUUACUUGAACAGGAUCUGUUCUAUAGGCUCGUACCGCUGCAUCCUUUACCAAUAAGGAGGCAAGCACUUCAGUCUGGUUGAUGCAUUCUGACCUCUAGACUAGAGCGUGAUUAACUGCCAGGAUUCACCUGAUGGGUGUUAUCCGACGGCUGUAGAGGAUCGUUCCUGCCUACUCUAGUGUGUGCAGGGUGGCCUAGAGGUUGUCUGACAGACUCCAUAACACUUUUUUAAGUUUGCUUUUCAGCUCCUUUUGGCUAUUUAAAAUAGAUUCAGUUGACGUUUAAGUACCCAAUGCAGCUGUAAGAAUAGAUUCAGUUGUUCUUAAAUUUAGUAGCGUUCAUCAAGGC
rnacentral:lncRNA from 1 species